UACGUAGGGGCCGAGCGUUGUCCGGAGUUAUUGGGCGUAAAGCGCGCGCAGGCGGCCUCGCGCGCCCGACGUGAAAGCCCCCGGCUUAACCGGGGAGGGUCGUUGGGGACGGCGGGGCUUGAGGGCGGGAGAGGUCGGUGGAAUUCCCGGUGUAGUGGUGAAAUGCGUAGAGAUCGGGAGGAACACCUGUGGUGUAGACGGCUUUCUGGACCAUAACUGACGCUGAGACACGAAAGCGUGGGUAGCAAACAGG
rnacentral:rRNA from 1 species